rfam:Heligmosomoides polygyrus genome assembly, scaffold: HPBE_contig0000707
GCGCCGGUGGUGUAAUGGCGUAGAGCAUUCCCGCCCGGUCAGAGGGAGGUGCGGGUUCGAUUCCCGCCUGGCGCU